rnacentral:tRNA from 1 species
GCCCGGAUAGCUCAGUCGGUAGUGCAGGGGAUUGAAAAUCCCCGUGUCCUUGGUUCGAUUCCGAGUCCGGGCACCA